rnacentral:rRNA from 1 species
UACAGAGGUGCCGAGCGUUAGGCGGAGUCACUGGGCUUAAAGCGUGUGUAGGCGGAUGCCUAAGUACCUUGUGAAAUCCCCCGGCUUAACCGGGGAACUGCUUGGUAUACUGGGUGUCUUGAGCCACUUAGGGGCGACCGGAACAAACGGUGGAGCGGUGAAAUGCGUAGAUAUCGUUUGGAACGCCAAUGGUGAAAACAGGUCGCUGGGAGUGUGCUGACGCUGAGACACGAAAGCCAGGGGAGCGAACGGG